rnacentral:rRNA from 1 species
AUUGAACGCUGGCGGCAGGCUUAACACAUGCAAGUCGAACGAGUGGCGGACGGGUGAGUAAUGUUUGGGAAUCUGGCCUAUGGAGGGGGAUAACUACGGGAAACUGUAGCUAAUACCGCAUACCAUAGGAUGAGCCCAAGUGGGAUUAGGUAGUUGGUGGGGUAAAGGCUCACCAAGCCGACGAUCUCUAGCUGGUCUGAGAGGAUGACCAGCCACACUGGGACUGAGACACGGCCCAGACUCCUACGGGAGGCAGCAGUGGGGAAUAUUGCACAAUGGGGGCAAGCCUGACGCAGCCAUGCCGCGUGAAUGAAGAAGGCCUUCGGGUUGUAAAGUACUUUCGGUAGCGAGGCGUUAACUACAGAAGAAGCACCGGCUAACUCCGUGCCAGCAGCCGCGGUAAUUC